rnacentral:tRNA from 1 species
GAGGGUAUAGCUCAGUGGUAGAGUGCUUGCUUAGCAUGCACAAAGUCCUGGGUUCAAUCUCCAGUACCUCCU